rnacentral:rRNA from 1 species
GUCUACAGCCAUGCCACCCUGAACAACCCCGAUCCCGUCUGAUCUUGGAAGCUAAGCAGGGUCAGGCCUGGUUAGUACUCAGAGGAGAGACCACCUAGGAAGACCAGGUGCUGUAGGCA